GUUGUCGAGAAGGAAAGAGGAUCGUACUGUCCUCCUGUCUGUACUCUGAUCCGAUCCGCUCCGCUCUACAGCACCGGUCAACCUGAUCUUUUAGACUCAGAAACAUCACGGAUCUGAACACAGGCCGAUCAGAGGUGGAGAGUGUGCAAGAUCCUGCUCAUGGAUGAGGAUGAGGAUGAUGUGUUUGGGCCUGUCUCACAGUGCUGGCCUUCCUCCAACAGGGAAGACCACAGUACACAGACCCCAGGGCGCUCCGCGACACGGCUGAAUGGCAUGCUGCCCUGCGGUGUAGCAGAGGAGCCCAGUCGCCUCUUCUAUGGUAGUGCAGGAUUUCUAUUGCUGACGCCGCCUGCUCGUUCUGACAGUGUCCAAGACGCCAUGUUUCCUGAAAAUCAGCCUCUCCGACGGCCUGCGCACAGCGUAGAGGCUCAGAUCGGCCAGAAACUCCAGAUAAUUGGAGACCAGUUCUACCAAGAGCACAUGCUGGAUGCUCUACUCUCCUGUAACAGACCCGGUGUUCUUCUCUAACUGACACCGUCUGUGAAAAGGAGGACAGACUCUACUCUUAGACUGAUGUGGGACAUGAGGAAGAAACGUGUUUUUUUGGGGUUGUAUUGCCCCACAACUUUCUUUUGGUCUGCAGCAGUCUGUGUCAACACCGAAACCAAAGGAACCAAUGGCCGUUUUGGUUGCGUUUGGCCUCAGCGCUGUACGCUCUCCUAUUCGAAGACGAGCCAGCGGUUAGGAGGAGACGGGAGGAUCGCAGGUGAGACGGCAGCCACGAUGAGAUCCGCCGCGCCUGCUUAAUGGCACUGUUCUACUUUCAACACGGGUUUAUAGGGGGAGAAGAUGAUAAGGAAGACUGUCUCUGCUGGACGGGGACCUCCUUUUUCUCCCCCCAAAAGAAGAUGCCAUGGUGUUUUGAGAUUAUUUUCAUACAAGACUUUGAGGUAUUUUGUAAAAUAUUUUGUCUUUGAAAUUCGCUUGCACUUCCGUAUGUGUACAUUAGCAAACUUUCGUCCUGGGAAUUCCUUAUCGUCUCCAGCCACUGCAGAAAGACUGUUGAAUACAGAAUGUGGACUGAAGAGAAGAAAAGGUUGUUUUUGUUUGUUUGUUUGUUUGUUUGUUUGUUUUUUGUUUGUUUUUCUUCUCCCAAAAUCUUCCAGGACUCCAAUCAGCUUGUCUAAUCUCCAAAGAGAUUUUCGUAUGUCUGCCUUGCAUAAAUGAUAGGAUUUUUUUUAACUCCCCUCCCCCCACACCCCCACACACACACCUACACACACACACACACACACACGUUCACAUCAAUUACCAUGAAUAGGAAGUCGGCAGGCCUCUACUACUUGAAUUUGGGGUGUCUGUUGAUGAGCUUGUCAAUAAUCAGCAAGCGAAAUCAACAAAUAGUUCGAUGCCUAGAGGCAACACGUGUCAUCAUCUCCAUUUAAGCCUGAAGAACAAGAGCACAGUGCCUAUUAUGAAACAAACAUCUUUAAAAAAAAAAAAAAACCACAAA